rnacentral:lncRNA from 1 species
AGCACUUCUGCUGGGCACUGAAUAAGAAGAUGGACAACUCUCAGAAUAUUGCCGCACUUACUACAAGUCGGAGGAUUGCUCCCAGUCAAGAGGUAAGA